CUGGCUCAGGAUGAACGCUGGCGGCGUGCUUAACACAUGCAAGUCGAACGAUGAUCCGGUGCUUGCACCGGGGAUUAGUGGCGAACGGGUGAGUAACACGUGAGUAACCUGCCCUUAACUCUGGGAUAAGCCUGGGAAACUGGGUCUAAUACCGGAUAUGACUCCUCAUCGCAUGGUGGGGGGUGGAAAGCUUUAUUGUGGUUUUGGAUGGACUCGCGGCCUAUCAGCUUGUUGGUGAGGUAAUGGCUCACCAAGGCGACGACGGGUAGCCGGCCUGAGAGGGUGACCGGCCACACUGGGACUGAGACACGGCCCAGACUCCUACGGGAGGCAGCAGUGGGGAAUAUUGCACAAUGGGCGCAAGCCUGAUGCAGCGACGCCGCGUGAGGGAUGACGGCCUUCGGGUUGUAAACCUCUUUCAGUAGGGAAGAAGCGAAAGUGACGGUACCUGCAGAAGAAGCGCCGGCUAACUACGUGCCAGCAGCCGCGGUAAUACGUAGGGCGCAAGCGUUAUCCGGAAUUAUUGGGCGUAAAGAGCUCGUAGGCGGUUUGUCGCGUCUGCCGUGAAAGUCCGGGGCUCAACUCCGGAUCUGCGGUGGGUACGGGCAGACUAGAGUGAUGUAGGGGAGACUGGAAUUCCUGGUGUAGCGGUGAAAUGCGCAGAUAUCAGGAGGAACACCGAUGGCGAAGGCAGGUCUCUGGGCAUUAACUGACGCUGAGGAGCGAAAGCAUGGGGAGCGAACAGGAUUAGAUACCC
rnacentral:rRNA from 1 species